rnacentral:lncRNA from 1 species
UGUGGAAGUUUGGAUGGCGUUGUUGAAGUCCGACUGACACUAUUGAAGGUUGAUGGCUGGGGAGGUUCGACAGACACCGGAGGCGGUCAGCCGUUGUAGAAAUCCAGCUGCUGGAGCCCAUCUAUCGUAGAAGUUCGUCCGAUAUCCAUCCGCUAUGAAAGUUCGGAUGGAGUCCGGUUCGUGUACAAGGCUGAAAGGAGAUCGC